AAUUUCUGCGAGGGGAGGAGGGGGAGGCGCGAGCGAGAUCAUUGAAUAUUAAGCACGAUCCGGCCCGGCGGCCACGGCCAAACCCUCCCGGUGCAAUACCCAUUUUCUUUAUGAAAAGUUCAAGGUGUCACUGAUGAGCUCAACAAACUGUUGAUCCUGACCACGUGGAGUGGCAGACAGAGGGACUGCGGGGCGCGGCUGCUGGCCCUCAGCCGGCAGCACCCCCAGACCCCGCGUCCCUCUCGCGGCUCCAGCGGCCGCGCGCGGGUGGGGCCGCCACGCGCCCAGGGCGCUGCCUGCGCCUUCUCCCGUCCUUGGGCUCGGGGAAAUAAUAACUUUAAAAAAAAAAUUUUUUUUUAAGCGAGAUACGUUUUGCUCCUGGAAUAGUAAUAAGAGGGCUUGGGGUAGGGAGGAUGAGAAAGAGCCCCCACUUAUAUAACGACUUGAAAUUACGUGACUUUUGCUGGGGAGAUUCGGGGAUUUGCGCUUGCGCCAGGUCUGAGGUUGGUUAAAGAUCCUCAAACUUUUUCCCUUAAGAGCCAAUAAACAAACAGACGCCCCGGGAGCUGACUUAAACUCUUGUCGGGCCGGCGUUCGCUGGGAUUCUCAGACUCGGAGAAAGGCACACCCCUGCGGCGCUCGCAGGGAAGUCCCUCGGAAGCAGGGCGGGUCACUUUCGGAACUGGGACUCUGGCGUUCCCGGCGGGAAGGGAUCCCUAACCGCCGCCCCCUGGCUCCCCUCGGGCGUUUUAGAGUAAAGGCGGGCGGGGAUCUCUCUGUCCUUCGCCUGCGGCCUCGGUUCCGUGAACUUGCGUUCUGGGCGCAGCGUUCCUGCGGCACUGCUACUCUAAGGAGCCCUAAGGAAUUCGGGAUCCAGGGGACGCUUCGGAAUCUCACGGGGCAACCUGUCUGCGUCUCACAUUCCUGCCGGGACGGACCGGUUUCCCCUCCAAGGGCAUCUGGACGCGUCAGCCUUUCCCGGUGUCUUGCUCGCUAUUACCCUUCACUCUUCCAGGUCAUUCCACUGCCCUCCACUACUCCCCUUAAAAGUGUUGCCUUCUAGCCAACAUUCUGGCUCCCCUCUCAAUGCCGCCAUGUUCUCCUGACUCAAGCUGGUUGUAGGGCACGGGUGUGGACCCAUACCUCAUAUGGGGUCAGCCAUGACAGUGUAAAGGGAGGAUGACUUCAGCCCCAGGAAUACUUCCUGAUGACCGCUGGCUUCUAUUUAUACAGCCCAGCACUGGGCUUGCUCAGAGGAUGCCUACAUUACAUAUCUGUGACACCAUCAGCUUGUCAGUCACCCGGAGUCUGGAAUCAUCCUUUCUGUCAUCAAGUGGCCUGGGAUUACAGCAUGUUGAAGCUCAGUCCUACAUAUAGAUGCGGUUGCAACCAUGUCCAAUGUAGGAAAUACGGAAAAGCCCAAUAUUUGUGAGCCCUUGCUAGUUUCCAAAAACAUGUCUACAUACUCUGUCUCUCCGUUUUCACUGUUGUUUCUUGCUCGGACUCUGUGAGGGCCUCCUAACCAGUCUUGCUUCUUGUACCUUUGGGCGUCUCCAGUCUAUUCUCUAGAGCAGAGGUUGGCAAAAUUUCUCUGUAGAGGGCCAGAUGGCAAAUAUCUUAGGUUUCACAGGCCACAAGUUUGUUUCAAAGGCUGAAUUCUCCUAUUACAGCAUAGAAAUGGCCUUAGAGGAUACAUAAAUGAAUG